rnacentral:rRNA from 1 species
CAAUAGCGUAUAUUAAAGUUGUUGCGGUUAAAAAGCUCGUAGUUGGAUUUCUGCCGAGGACGACCGGUCCGCCCUCUGGGUGUGUAUCUGGUUUGGCCUGGGCAUCUUCUUGGAGAACGUAGCUGCACUUGACUGUGUGGUGCGGUGUCCAGGACUUUUACUUUGAGGAAAUUAGAGUGUUUCAAGCAGGCACACGCCUUGAAUACAUUAGCAUGGAAUAAUAAGAUAGGACCUCGGUUCUAUUUUGUUGGUUUCUAGAGCUGAGGUAAUGAUUAAUAGGGAUAGUUGGGGGCAUUCGUAUUUAACUGUCAGAGGUGAAAUUCUUGGAUUUGUUAAAGACGGACUACUGCGAGAGCAUUUGCCAAGGAUGUUUUCAUUGA